AACAUUCACUGCUGUCGGUGGGUUGUCCCAUUGCUGGGAAAGUUAACCCGCCGGCCCGUGAAUGCUAC
rnacentral:pre_miRNA from 1 species